rnacentral:tRNA from 2 species
CGGGAUGUGGCGCAGCUUGGUAGCGCAUUCGCUUUGGGAGCGGAGGGUCGCAGGUUCGAAUCCUGUCAUCCCGACCA